AUUGCAGAACGCACUGCUUGCGUGGUGUAAUCUUCGAACAGUAGAGUGGACAUAUUUUAUUUAUAUUCAACUUUUAGAAGUUGAGGAGUAUUGUUGUGCAAUUGUGUGCAGUGAGGUUUGUGAAGGUGUGUGGCUUGUGAGGCGUGUAAAAAGCGUUUUGGUGUAGCACUAAAGCAAGCACUGAGCAGCACUGAGGCACACUUCACGCUCAAAAUUUCCCAGCUUGCAGCUGCGGACUGUAGCUGGAGCAGAGCGAGAGUGAGCGACUUUCUCAUUGCGUUCGCUGUGGAAGGAUUGACGGAUCCGAAAUCUAGCUCGAGUGCCAUCGCCGAUUCCGACAUACCUGCUUGGCGAAGUGAUUUCGCUUGGUGGUGGGUACAAGUCUCAAAGGAACCUUCUACGAGCGGCCCGGUGCCGCCGCCGGCGCGCCUCCACCAUGACGGAGCGGUUCAAAGUGACGGCGGCCAGCACCAACUCGUCUUAUGGCGCGCUCGAGGACGGUAAGGAGGAGCCGUCCGACGCCGCCGCGGCCGACCAGCCGGGACCGGGGCCGGCACCGCCGGGACCGUCCAGCUCCGGACCGUUCGGACCCACCACCUACGUCCACCAGAAGGGCAGCGUCGAUUUGCCAGAUAACCAGCCAUUCGCCGUGGACGACCAUGAGGGUCUCUCCGGCUACGACAAGAAUCUCUACCUCUACAGCGAGGAGCUGGAGGAACGGCCGCGCGUGGUCAACAUGGUGCACACGCUGGCCAACUACAAUGCCAUCAUCCCGUCGGCCACCGACCACGACCAGAAGCCGGUGCGGCCGCAGAACAAGCUCGGGACGAUGCUGGGCGUGUUCCUGCCCUGCAUCCAGAACAUCUUCGGUGUCAUCCUGUUCAUCCGCCUGACCUGGAUCGUCGGCACGGCCGGCGCCCUCGAGGCCUUCAUGGUGGUCCUCAUGUGCUGCUGUGUGACGAUGCUCACGUCGAUCUCAAUGUCUGCGAUCGCCACGAACGGCGUGGUGCCUGGUGGCGGGUCGUACUUUAUGAUCUCGCGCGCGCUGGGACCCGAGUUCGGCGGCGCCGUCGGCAUCCUCUUCUACCUGGGCACGACGUUCGCCUCGGCCAUGUACAUCAUCGGCGCCAUCGAGAUCCUACUGCUGUACAUAGAGCCGCGGAUCGCCAUCAGCGACAUCUCAAACGAGUCGAGCAAGUUCGACAACUUCCGGCUCUACGGUACCGUCCUCCUCUUCUGCAUGGCCACCAUCGUGUUUUUCGGCGUCAAGUUCGUCAACAUCUUCGCCACGCUGGCGCUGGUCUGCGUGCUGGGCAGCAUCGCCUCCGUCUACGUGGGCAUCUUCGUCAACGCCGGCGGCUCGGACGCGCUCAUGACGUGUCGACUAGGCGAGCGGUUACUCCGGGAGAACGAGAACAACAAGUCGGCGGCGGCGUGCUCGCCCGAGUUUCUGUGGGACGAGUACUGCCAGACGCCGUACGACCAGAAGAACCUCACCACUUGCUACUACUACUUCGCGGCCCACUACAACGACACGCACUACGAGCGCGGCGUGGCCGGCAUCGCCAGCGGCGUCUUCCAGCGGAACCUGUACUCGCGCUACCCGCGCAAAGACAACUACAUCACGGAGAACGGCAGCUCGGUGGCGGCCAAGAACCUGGGCAAGGGCGAGUACAACCAGAUCAUGGCCGACAUCACCACCUCGUUCACCGUGCUGAUCGGCAUCUUCUUCCCCUCCGUCACAGGUAUCAUGGCGGGCUCGAACCGGUCGGGCGACCUGGCCGACGCGCAGAAGUCGAUUCCGAUCGGCACCAUCUGCGCCGUGCUGGUGACGAGCACCGUGUACCUGAGCGGCGUCAUGUUCUUCGCGGCGACCCUCUCGCCGCUGCUGCUGCUCGACAAGUUCGGUGAGAGCGUCGGCAAGCAGAUGGUGGUGUCCCAGGUGGCCUGGCCGCACCCGAUGGUAGUCACCAUCGGCUCGCUGCUCUCCACGGUCGGCGCCGGCCUGCAGUCGCUGACGGGCGCGCCGCGGCUCCUGCAGGCCAUCGCCCAGGACAACAUCCUGCCCAUCCUCGACCCGCUCGGCAAGAGCUCCAAACGCGGCGAGCCCGUGCGCGCCCUGCUCGUCACCGUCUUCAUCUCCGAGGUGGGCAUCCUGAUCGGCAACCUGGACGAGAUCACGCCCAUCAUCACCAUGUUCUUCCUCAUGUGCUACGGCUUCGUGAACCUGGCCUGCGCGCUGCAGACGCUGCUGCGCACGCCCAACUGGCGGCCGCGCUUCAAGUACUACCACUGGGUGCUCUCGUUCCUGGGCCUGUCUCUGUGCAUCACCGUCAUGUUCAUGACCAGCUGGUACUACGCGCUGGUGGCGAUGGUGAUCGCCCUGCUCAUCUACAAGUACAUCGAGUUCCGCGGCGCCGAGAAGGAGUGGGGUGACGGUAUCCGCGGUCUGGCGCUCUCUGCGGCGCGCUUCUCCCUGCUGCGGCUUGAGGAGGGGCCGCCGCACACGAAAAACUGGCGGCCGCAGCUUUUGAUCUUCGCCAAACUCGACUCGGAGCUGAAUCUCAAGUACCCCAAGCUCAUCACAUUCGCCUCACAACUCAAGGCCGGCAAAGGUCUGACGAUGAUCACCACGGUGCUAGAGGGAGAGUUCAGCAAAACGUACGGCGAGGCGCAGGCAGCGCGACUCAGCAUCAGGAAGGAGCUCGACAGGGAGAAGACCAAGGCCUUCAUCGACGUCCUCGUCGGCAAGAGCGUCAUCGAGGCCAUCAACCACUUUAUGCAGACGGCCGGUAUGGGUGGCCUGCGUCCCAACACGGUGGUGCUGGGCUGGCCGUACGGCUGGCGGCACCAGGCAGACGCCAAGGCGCACCGCGUCUUCCUCGAGUCCGUGCGAAACACCAGCGCCAACAAGAUGGCGCUGCUCGUGCCCAAGGGCAUCAACUUCUUCCCGACCAACAACGAAAAGGUGGUGGGCAACAUCGACAUCUGGUGGAUCGUGCACGACGGCGGCCUGCUGAUGCUGCUGCCCUUCCUGCUGAAGCAGUCGCGCACCUGGAAGGGCUGCAAGAUGCGCAUCUUCACCGUGGCACAGAUGGAGGACAACAGCAUCCAGAUCAAGAAGGACCUCAAGACGUUCCUCUACCACCUGCGUAUAGAGGCAGAGGUGGACGUCGUCGAAAUGGUGAGGCGGGAUGGACGGAGGAUUGGGUGGGGGAUGUUUGACUGGGAACUGGGAGGGGGGGUCUGGAGAAGGCAGGAUAGUAGGCGGGGAAGGGAUAUCUCCUGGGAUAGUGACUACUGACUACUGACCAGGGCGAGAAUGGUCUGUCGGCUGGAAACGGCAGACUUUUGCAAUGUUUUCAUGAGAAAGCUUUGUGUAUGUGUUCGUCUAUGCCUAGCGAAAUCAAGACACUUGGGGCAGUGCUGAAAUAUAGUGAAGCUUUACGACAUACUUGCUGGCAGUAACUUCCUUCUCUAAUCGACCUCUUCUUAUUGUGUCGGUCUCACGAGCUUUGAAUGGCGUCCGUCUCUGUCGUCUCAGCUGUCUGUGUGUUGUGAUAUCAGCUGUCGUGAUGUGGUCUGUCAUGGGCCUGUGGGAUUGAUGUACGCUGUUUUGGGCUACCUGGCUGGCUGUGUGGUGUGCAUACCGCUGAUAUAUUGCCGGAGUUACCAGGCAGGUAGGCGGUGUGUUCCUCUGGCUGCCCCCGGCGGACUGCCCGUGUUAUGACGGUGCGCUGCGGCCCCCACCGCCACGUCUCCGCCGCCUGAGCCGGGCUCUGCUGAUUCCCUUACCGUGCCUGAGCCGCCGGCUGGUCCUGACGAACCGAUCAACUACCUUUUGUAGUUCACCGGCACCAAUCUCGGCGUAAAUAACGCGAGCUUUAAAACCUCGGCGUCUGAUCCGAACUUCUAUCGGCGCCAUAGAGCUUCAUGUAAUUAGAAUCUUGCUAUGAUGUAUAAGACGGCUAGGCGCCGCGCUGCCGGCCCCGCGGCACCAGUUUGGUACCUCCUUGAAGGGCCCGGCGUGGAAAGGUGGGGCUGCUAGACACACGGUGUCUAUGAAACAUGCUCUCUCAGGUCAUGGUUCUCACGUACAGGGAUUCACGUACAGGGCCAUUGGUUCAAUGUGUGCGAUGUGAUGUCUGGACGUGACUUGGGAUUGAGAUGCGACUUUCGUCUAGUGUGUCAGAGCGUGUGUUAUCACAGUGGUAUUAUGUGAGCUGUGUCUUGUGACUAGGCUGUACCGUGUGAGUUUUGUCAUGUUUAUAUUAGAACUGUGUCGUGUGACAAUGUGAGUCGUGCCGUGUGUUUCUGUGAGUCGUGACUGUUGUGUCGUCGGUGCCGUGUGCCCGUGUAUGUAAGCUGUACCGUGUGUUUCUGUGAUGUGUGACGGCUGUGUCGGCGGUGGCGCGUGUCUGUGAGCUAUGUCGUGUGUUUCCGCGAGGUGUGACGGUUGUGUCGUCGGUGCCGUGUGCCCGUGUCGGUGAGCUGCACUGUGUGCCUAGUGUGUCUGUGAGCUGCACCGUGUGUUUCUGUGAUGUGUGACGGCUGUGUCGUCAGUGCCCAGGCGCGCCGCCACUCCGCCCGCUCUGCCCGCUUUCUCUGACCAGCCGCACCACCUCUCUGUCUCUGUCUCUCUCCCGGACGGCAGGGUCAUGACAGCGACAUCUCGGCCUACACCUACGAGAGGACGCUGAUGAUGGAGCAGCGAAAUCAGAUGCUGCAGGAGAUGAGACUCAGCAGAAAGGAGCGCAACUCAGUGGUCCAGGACAUUGUCGACAAGAGCUUCAAGGGGGUCGACUCGCCGCCGGCGCGCAACUCCAAGGUGCACUUCCUGGAGCGCGUGCUGCCGGAGGAGGCGGCCGUCACGCCGGACAUCUCGGUGGACCUGGCCGACGGCACCGGCUCGCGGUCGCCCUCCCAGGAGCGGAAGGAGGAGCCGGCGGCACCGGUCGACGUCGAGCCCGCCGGCGACGCCGCGCCCGCCACCAAAGACGGCUUCAAAAAGCUGCUCGACAUCAAACCUGAUAAGGCCAACGUGCGCCGGAUGCACACGGCCGUCAAGCUGAACGAGGUAAUCGUCAGCAAAUCACAUGACGCCCAGCUGGUGAUUGUCAACCUGCCCGGGCCGCCUAAACUGCAGAGCGCCAAAAACGACUCCAACUAUAUGGAGUUCCUGGAGGUGCUGACCGAGGGCCUGGACCGGGUGCUGAUGGUGCGCGGCGGCGGCCGCGAGGUGAUCACCAUCUACUCGUAGUGGCGCGGCGCCGUCCGACGAGCGCUCAGCGCGGGGACCAGACGGACCGCCGCCGCCGGCUGAGAGUAUUUAUUGUGGGCCGGCCGGUGGGCGGGUGCCGCUGCCGGCGGCCGGUGCUGUGAUGGGCCGCCCGGACUGCCGGCCGCUGCAAUAGGGCCGCGCCGCUCGCCGGGACGGCCGCUCACGUGUCAAAUGGGCGCAGUGCCGGCGCCCGCGCCGUUGUUACAUGACUGAAGACUCUAUGGUGCGCCGGACGGUGGCGCGGUGGUGCCGCGUGCCACCGCCGCGCCGGCUGCGCCCAGCGCCAAGCGGGUGGGGCCGCCAGCGGCCGGACCGACACGAGGCAGCCCAGUGGGCAGCUCUUUUAGCGAUCAUUAUUUAUAGGUUGUCUGGCGUUGUUUGCGGCGUAGCUUUAAUUGACACCAUCUGUCACGUGGAUUAUGUCGCCCUGUCACAAACCGAGGUCACGUGGAUUAUGUCGCCCUGUCACGAGUGUGCACGACAACCAUGCCGAGCUUUCCAGGCGGCCAGGGCAGCCGCCCCGCCCUGUGGGUCUCACGCUGUUCUUGUUUCGCAUUUCCUUCGCAUGGUUUAUUAGAUUCAUUGUUAAUUAAUAUUAAUUGUUCCUAUUUGUUUUUGGCAGCUUUUCGAAUAAAGUAGUUGGUCUAUGCCA